AGAAGCUCUGCAGGAUCUCCACCUACCGAUGCGUCCGAUCUUCAUCCCAGAUCGAGCCAAAGCUCUGAGAGCCGACUGAGCUCCAGGACCAGGAGUCUUCGUCCUGCAACAAACAGAGAGUCAGUUACCUGGACAGGUAAACGCUCUGCUAGCCUCGUCUGGACAGGUAAACGCUCUGCUAGCCUCGUCUGGACAGGUAAACGCCCUGCUAGCCUCACCUGGACAGGUAAACGCUCUGCUAGCCUCGUCUGGACAGGUAAACGCUCUGCUAGCCUCACCUGGGCAGGUAAACGCCCUGC